rnacentral:rRNA from 1 species
UGGGGAAUAUUGCACAAUGGGGGAAACCCUGAUGCAGCGACGCCGCGUGAACGAAGAAGGUAUUCGUAUCGUAAAGUUCUGUCCUAUGGGAAGAUAAUGACAGUACCAUAGAAGAAAGCUCCGGCUAAAUACGUGCCAGCAGCCGCGGUAAUACGUAUGGAGCGAGCGUUGUCCGGAAUUAUUGGGCGUAAAGGGUACGCAGGCGGUUUAAUAAGUCGAAUGUUAAAGAUCGGGGCUCAACCCCGUAAAGCAUUGGAAACUGAUAAACUUGAGUAGUGGAGAGGAAAGUGGAAUUCCUAGUGUAGUGGUGAAAUACGUAGAUAUUAGGAGGAAUACCAGUAGCGAAGGCGACUUUCUGGACACAAACUGACGCUGAAGUACGAAAGCGUGGGGAGCAAACAGG